rnacentral:piRNA from 1 species
UGGUAGGUGGAGAGGCCCAAUGUAGCCU